AUGAAAUGUAAAUUAUGUAAAAAAACAAAUUAAGUAUUUAAUUCAAAAUAUGUAUUGACAAGUUGUCUGAAACAAAAAAGUUGAGAGCUGAACCUAAACCUCACCAAAUUAAUCUGCAGUAUCCUACUUAUUUUGUUAACAUAUUGUCUUUCAUAUGUAUUUCAGUUGAGCUCUUAUACUGUGUAUCUUGAAAUAUGAGUUAUUGCUAGUCUGAAGUAAUUUUUGGCAUUAGUAUGGAGAAAUGUAUAUUUUCGGUAAGAUGUUGAAAUUUCCUCUGAUUUAAGUCGAUCUUGAACUUCUCAGGCCCGUUUUCUGUUUGCGUAUUGGGCAGCCAGGUGUCUAUCAGUCAUUAUCAGCCAAUCAGUGCCAAUUUGGGACGAAUAUUGGACCCUUCCGAGUUCUCAAAAUGGUGGAACUCAGCUCGAGUAACAUACCCUACCAAAACGACAUGGGUGAAAAGGAAACGAUGUGAGCUGCUGUUUGGAAGUUCAUUUAACUCUGUUAAAUCACUAUAUUUCAAGUUCAGAGUCUAUAGUUUUAUAAGAGUGUGUACCCUACCAAAACGGGAAAAUUAACUGAAUUUGAGCGGUCAGACAUGUUGCUAAAUUAGCACAAACAUCGACUGUUUCUAGCUAACCAGCCGUCGCCUUCGCUCGACCGGAAGACAAGUGUGGAUCCUGAAAACUGUAAUAAUAUGGACAUUUGUGGUUAACAAACAGGAAGAAUAUCGGACACUGGCACACAUGCUGCUGCAGGUGCAGGUGCUCAGGGCAUGCCGUUGCCAGAGAAAUCUGUUUUUAGCACGUGGACCUAGCCUCUGGACGUUUUUUUUUUUUCCCAUUGCUGAGCUAACCGGUGGACAGGAUUUGAACUGAUUGUUACUAGCAGCUUUCUGCCGUCUCCAUGGAACAGCAAAAAUGACUUGCUGCCGCACAACAUCAGAGGCCUAUCUGUGCUGUCACAACCAAAUAUUAUAUCCUCUCUGCUGAGGACUUCUGUGAUAAAAGAGUCUACACGCUCCUCUCUCUACUGAUGUGAUGAGAUCCAGUAGUGACUGGGGAGAAGCCUGCAGCUCAGAGCGAAUGUUUCCUGGAGAACGGCAUCAGAUCAGCCGGAGGGAUGAACCCUGGAGAGGGAUCAGACCGAGACGACUAGACAGAGCACACUCAACUCAGCAGGGAAAAACUCUGUGAGUUUGACUGAGCUUCCAGACAGGAUGAGAUAUAUAUGGCAGGGAGAAAAAGAGGCAAGACAAUGCUGUUCAGUCACACUGAAGUUUAUUUUGAAGAGCACUUCACAGUGGUAAUACUGUCGCGAGCACCAUAUCUAAAUAUGAAGUUAAUUUAAUAAACAUGAACCACCAUAUACUGUAGCUGAGGGUUUUUGAUAAAUACUCAAAGAUAUAAAAAUGAGCAGUGGUCAAACUGUUGCUGCUAAUACUAAGGAGAAGAGAUGUCUGUGAGUUUGAAUCAGUAACGAUAUUGAAUGUGAAUGGGUACAUUGCAGUCAUUAAACUCUAGUUGAGAAAAAGUCAUGAGCUUAUAAGAGCAAGGAGUGGCUGUGCUUAAAAUGCAGCAUGGCUGUUUUAACAUAUGCCUGUGAUUCUGUAUAACUCAUGAAAACCUAUACAGUGCUACUGUAUCAUAUACUAUCGUAAUAUUUACAAAUUCCAAAGUGAUUACAUAAAGAAAGACUGACUGUUUUCUCUGUUGACUUUAUUAAUAAUAUAGAGCAGAACAAUUGGUGUAAUUGUACAGUCUUCGAUCUAUGACAUAAUACAACAAGAUGGGAUGCUUGGAAGAUAAAUUUCUGUGGUGUCUUUGUGAUUACUUUUCUGUGCAUACCAAUGUUGUAAAUGUCUGUAAUUGUAGUAACCCUAUGUUAGCAGUGA